rnacentral:rRNA from 1 species
UACGUAGGUGGCAAGCGUUGUCCGGAUUUAUUGGGCGUAAAGAGCUCGUAGGCGGCUCAUCGCGUCUGCCGUGAAAACCUGUGGCUCAACUACAGGCUUGCGGUUGAUACGGGCAGACUAGAGGUCGAUGAGGGGAGACUGGAAUUCCUGGUGUAGCGGUGAAAUGCGUAGAUAUCAGGAGGAACACCGGUGGCGAAGGCGGCAUCCUGGACCAACACUGACGCUGAGUGAGCGAAAGCCAGGGGAGCAAACGGG